rnacentral:rRNA from 1 species
UACGGAGGGUGCAAGCGUUAUCCGGAUUCACUGGGUUUAAAGGGUGCGUAGGAGGACAGGUAAGUCCGUGGUGAAAUCUCCGAGCUUAACUCGGAAACUGCCGUUGAUACUAUCUGUCUUGAAUAUUGUGGAGGUGAGCGGAAUAUGUCAUGUAGCGGUGAAAUGCUUAGAUAUGACAUAGAACACCAAUUGCGAAGGCAGCUCGCUACACAUAUAUUGACUCUGAGGCACGAAAGCGUGGGGAUCAAACAGG